UAACAAAUAUACUUAUUAUUCUAUUUGCUAACGUUCCUGGCUUUGCCAACCGCGUCUGCAAACACUUUAUUCAUCUGUGUUCCGCUAGGUAUUUCCCAUUUGUUUUGUUUACAAUAGCUGAAAAUAAAUUCUGAAAGAAAAUCAAUAAAAAAAAAAUAAUGACAUAAUUUAUACCAAAGAUUGGGAAUAUAAGGAAAGGCAGUAACACAAAACAACAUAUUUAUUUAUGUUAAGGAUUGACACCUACACCUCCCUUGGCUUUCCUCAUGCCGAAUCCACCUGAAUUAGCUAAUUCCAACUCUGUAAAAAUUGCCUUCACUAGACCUCGCAGGAGCCGCCUGCCAUAGUUGCCGCAAUUGGCUACACAGGCAGACCACUGCGAAUUUGUUAUAUACACAUUGUCUGAAUUCAUCAGUCGCUUUCCGCCUGAUUCCUAAGAAAAAUGUUUAAAAAAAUUAUUUUAAAAUAAACAAAAAUAGAUCUUUAAAAAUAGUAAAAGUAUCAUUAAACAUCAGCUGUUUAAAUAACAGUAAAGCAGAUUAUGGUUUACAACAUUUCUCAGCCAAAGACUAUCACCAAAUCGUUAAAAUAAUUUUUAUGUUUGAAAAUGUGGAAAAUAACAAUGUAGCAUGAUAUUUAGAUAUAUAAAGUUUUGUUUAUUUACAAUAAAAUAGAUUUUAAAAUUGUUGACAUAUUUUGCCCACUAUCUCCAAAACACAAUUUUCGAGGAGUGACUGGCUUUUAAUAAGUUAAUUAAUAAGCUUAAUAAUAAGACUGGCUUAAAUUCUCAUAACGCUAUGAAAAGGUAGUAAAAAAAAUUUAAAUUGGAUGUUGAUGAGUAAAACAUUACAUAAAAACUUAGUCAUAAUCGAUGACGGCCUGUGUUUCUUUAAUAGCAUUUCUAAGAAAUUAAGUGGCUUUUAGUAAGUAUUGUUUCUGAAAAAAACGAAAUGGACAUAGUGGAACAGCUACAGUAUUACAAUAAAUUACUAUCUGUACAAACCUAGUUCUUUCUGGCCAUGGUCUGGCAUCUGAUGCAAAGCACGGCAUUACUGGCAGGGCUCCGUAUUUUCAAGCAUUUCUAAAAAGAAUCCAUUUAACGACAAAUCUUCGUAUAAACUGUUUACAUCCUAUAUUACGGCUUUGUUGGAGCUGGAAUGGCUGCCGGAGCUGGUGGGAAUUGGAUGUUGAUGAGUAAAACAGUACAUAAAAACUUAGUCAUAAUCGAUGACGGCCUGUGUUUCUUUAAUAGCAUUUCUAAGAAAUUAAGUGUCUCCUCUGAUGGUACUGAAAAAAGAAGAAAAUAUAUAUUUUGGUUUAACAAUAUUGGUAAACAAACCACCUUUACUUUUGGUCUAAAGUAACUUCAUUUGUAUAUGGCGCUAGAAUGUAAUUUCUUUUCAAUGUAUCGCUGAUUGAAGCAAUUGCCUUAGUAAGUUUUAGGGUAAAGCAACUUCCUUUUAGUAAGUAUUGUUUCUGAAAAAAACGAAAUGGACAUCCGUUCGAUUGUGCUAACUGGGUUUCGAACUUAGCGUUCACUUGAGCCAUAAGGGUUUCGAACUUGGAGUCCAGUUGGACUACUCGAGCUUCCAUUGCGGCCAAUCGACUACUAGUAUUGUCCCCCGAAGGCUUCUGAUUCGGAGUACCCGGUCUCCUGUUAGGAUAGCUAGAUUUGCCACCCCUAUUAGAUCUACCCCCCACUUGUCUAACUCUAUGCUGGGAAUCUUCCUCAUCUUCAUCCUCCUCAGAAGCCGAAGAGUGUAAGGGCAAGUGAUAAGAAGCAGUGGCAGAUUCAACAUGGGCUUUAAUUACCUCCUUGGACGACCUACCCCUCCUGUUAACAUACAACCCAUUGAGGCUUACGUAUUGCUCAUAUUCUCUUAGUGCUUCAGAGUCCCUGCACCCUAGACAAAACCUUAUGGCUGCCUGUUGCCUAAUCCAAGAUUUAGGAAGGGCGCCAUAGACCUUUCUUGUCAUAGUGAGGACCCUAUCUCCCCACUUAUCUACAGUUUCGUCCUCCCGCUGUGAGGAGGCUUCUUAUUUAGCUUGCAAAACUUCUGGAAGGUCAUCUUCCUCAUAUCGCUUGUCAAAAGCGCUCAUAAUUUUUCGAAAGUAAAUAUGUCUAUCCAUUCCAAUAAGAUUGACAUAAAACUCGGCCGCACUCCCCUCCACACACCAACAGAGUGCGUCCGUUCUUUCCUUUUCCGAAAGCUCCUGCUCUUCUGCGAACCUGAAGAAUCGCCAGUUUUCCUUCCUGUUAAACGUUAAAGUCUUUGGAAUAUCUUUAUACUUGAAUGACGUACCCCUUUGUCUUGGUGGAGCCCUCCUUUCAGUAAGCCUUAUAGUUCUUAAAAGCUUGGCAUACCCCUGAGAAUCAUCAGAUUCUCAUUCACUUUCCUCCCCAGAAUUCGGGUUAACAUCCUGAUCACUAUGCUCGUCCCCCCAAACGGCUAUUUCUACUUCCAGAAGGAUUAUGGUGGUGGCUUUGAGGUUCUUACUGAAAAUGAGGUUUGACACUGAGUCAAUUUGGAAAAACCUUGACCCUCCAGCACUGGAUUGGGAGUAAAGUCGAAUUCUUUAAUUAACUUAUAACCCCCUCCAACGUCUUUAAUAUCACCUAAACUUGUUGGAUAGAUGUUACCAUAACGGGACCUCCACAGAGUAAUCUUCUCCCCCCAUUUUUUACCAACAUUAGGGAUAGCGUAAAGAUCCGCAACAUCGCAGAAAUUUAUCUUAAUUUUACCAAACCUAUUCACGCUCAGAGAGAAACCGAAAUAGGUGUUGGGAAAGACUCGCAGAUACCGGUCUAUGAUCUCAGCUGUCGAUGCGAAGUUAUGCAGCAUAAGCUGCUGAUCGCGUAGGCUAUUUAGCAGGCGGAGGAUGUUGAGACCUUGCAGGAAGCAUUCUUCCGCUGUCUCAUCCUCCGCCAUGCCCCGGAGAUGCAAACAUAUCACCAGAUGGCGUUGGCGCAUGUAGCACUCCCCCAGAAUGCGCUUCAGAAGAUCGUCCUGUCUAGAACAGUCUUAUGUGAGCUGGGUGUGCUCUAGACCAAUCUUGCCCAGCACCUUGACAUCUCUUGACCCAGACAGAGCUCUCAGCCGCUCGAACUGGGUUGCCGUCUUCUUUUUGGGAUGAAUCACAAUGCCAACAUCGCAAUGGGGUUGGCGCACAACAGGGCUAAUCUCCCUGAAAGUGGGGUAAGUGGCAGGAUCGCAGUAUACUGCGAUUCCACCCCUCACAGCGACAGUUUAGGACACCCUCCGGCCCUCCCUACUUCGAUUAGGCCUUCAGAUACAAACCUAAAGCUCUGCGUAGCCGGUCUAAAUAGAAGUUCAAAAACUCGAGGCCGCGCUUCUGGGACCUAACGCGAUGUAUGGGUCACCCCUUGAGCAUCAGGCCCUGCAGUAGUUGGGAAGUCGCUUGCUUAGCUUGCUCGCGAGCCCCCUGAGCAUCAGUUCCAGCAUCUUGCUGCGCCUUCCUCUUCUGAGGGGGGUUCACAGGUAUAGGAAAAGCCACUUUCGGCUUCUGCGACAAUCCUCUGGAAUGCCCCCUCCUGAUUCCCGUUUGCCCCAAUGCUUCCCGCAGCUUGAUCAUUGCAGCCCGAGUCCUAACAUCGAUAGUCUGAUGUUCUCCCGGUUCCUCCGUGGAUUGCUCCCAGUAGCCUGUUCACCAGAUCAUGGAGAGAAGCUCCCUCACCAACAAUGUGCUGGGCCAGCCCCUCCAGUACCUUUAGCUGAAUGUUAAUUUGGCGCUUCGUGCACCGGAGCUAAGGUUUGAAGCAAGCCAGGGCGUGACUAGCUAGGAUGUGGAUGCGCAUGUUCACCACGUUGUUGUUAUUGUUUAAUAAACAAAUAUAACAAAUGUUAUUGUUUAUUAUACAAUAUACAGGUCUGAUUACUAAAUUUAAUGUUAUUUCUUAAAGCUGUAUCAUCAAAUUUAACAAAACUGACAACAUUUCCAACCUGGACCAUUUCGUUAAAAGGUCAUGUGACCUUUUUAAUUUAAGGUUGUUUGAUAUGAAAUUAAUAUAUUUAUUGAAUUAAGUACUUACCCACCUUGAGCCAGGGCAAGUUGUAUUAUUCUGGGUUGUCUAGACAUUUAAUAUUAUUGGGACCGUUGGGCACCUGGACCAUUUUGUUAAAAUAGGAUCAUGUGACCUUUUUAAUUUACAGUUACUUGAUAUGAAAUGACAUUCAAUAAUUCAUUGGGAACAUUGGGGACCUAAAAUAUAUGGUUAUAUGAUAAAUGAAAUAAAUAUACAGUAAUACAAAAUAUUUAUUGAUUUGAAUUUAGUACUUGCCCGUUUUAAGUGAGUUGAAGUUGUAUUAUUAUGGGUUGUCUAGACAUUGAAUGAUUCAUUGGGACCAUUGGGCACAUGGACAAUGCCAUUAAAAUUGGGUCAUAUGACCUUUUUAAUAUACAGUUUUUUGAUAAAUGAAAUUAAUAUAAUACAACAUUUUUAUUGAUAUAAAAUGGGCACUAAGUACUUGCCAGCCUUAAGCCAGGGCAAGUUGUAUUAUUAUGGGUUGUCCAGACAUUCAGUGACACUUCAAAUAUGCGGUUUUAUAUGAUAAAUAUAAUACAAUAUAUUACUUUAGUGAUAAAUAUUUCUGGGUUGUCCAAACAUUGAUUCAUUAAUGGGGUCAUGUGACACAAUUAAUAAAUAAGGCCCUCUUUAACACGCUCAUAAAGUGGUCAUAAUAUAUUUAAGUUUUGAAUAUAGGUCUGUAAAUCAAUUAAUAUUUGAUUAUUAUUCUUAAAAUUAUAAUGAUGUUUUUUCCUGUGUCAUUGUUGCUGCUUUGUACCAUUAUAUAAUUACCAGGCGCAGAUCCAUACAUCCUGACCCUAAUAUUUUUUUUUAUGUGGCCCUACUAUAGCUUUUCCCCUUUUGGAAAGUUUUAAAAAAACAGGAAGAAAAUGAAAAAAUUUAUUGCCCAAAACGACUCAGGAGUUAUUUUCUGGCGCCUGGUCUGGGACAUUUCUCUUUAAUGGUCCUUAUAGCCACACCCUACUCAGGAUCAGUUUUGUCCUUAGAACAGGACAAAACAUUCUAGAAAAUUUCAUUCAGAUCCAGUGAUCAGUUUUUGAGAUAUUUAUGUCUGGGUCUUUGGUCUUUUCAAUGACACCCCAAUUCACACCCGAACAUUGGUGCAUCUGAAGGGGGAUCAGGAGUGUCCUGAGGGUCCUGACCCCCACCCCCUUGGGCAAAAAAACCCCAGAAAUUCCUCUCCCCCUUCCCCCCAAAAUAGCUGAGAGCUGAAAUUUUGUUGUUACAAUGGGAAAAUUAUUAGUCAGGAAAGCUCAUUUCCCGCCAUCUAUGAAUCAAAAUUUUCAUAGGGGAGGACCCCGACCCCUUUCUUUUUGGGGUUCAUCGAUUUAUGGAAAAGAGAAUACAUAUGAAGCUACUCAAAUGUUUUUUUAUGUAUGUAUAUGGAAAAGGCUUGGUGAAAUUGUAUAAGACAAUUGUAAGACCAUCCUUGGAGUAUGGUAACGUUAUUUGGUGUCCUUCAUAUGAGAAAGAUGCUGAUACACUUGAAAAAGUUCAGCAGAGAGAACUUGACUUCUACCUGGAUCUCAGUUAUCCUGAACGUCUAAUUCAUCUUCAACCUUCCAACACUAGCGUAUAGAAGGAAACAAGCUGAUGUAAUGGGAUCUUUAAAAUCUUAAAAGGAAUUGACAAUCUUAGAACGGAAGGUUUUUUUUAUUCUGGAUUCUGCAUCCCGAACCAGACAUUCAUUAAAAAUCGAAAAACCUAAAGCUAAGGCAGUUUAGCUUUGCAGUGAGAGCAAUUAAUGACUGGAAUAACUUACCGGAAACAGUUGGAAAAGCUUCGUCUAUAAAUAAAUUCAAAACAGAGUUAAGGAAACACUGGAUAUCACACCCACUGAAGUUUAACCCUUAUGAGAGCAUGGCAGGGAGUCCAGAGAGGGGCACAUAAGCAAUUGCUUAAAGCCUAACACCAAAAGUAUACCAAAAAGCGCUAUGUUGGUACAGUCGGCCAGAAUGUUAAGAAGCAGUGGUGUUCAGCUUCAGGAUGAGUAGUUAAACAUUGAGAGAAUGAUAGCAACAAGAAUACAGUGUGCUGGCUCUUUGCUAGUUGACUCAUUUGCAUAAUUCACCAGACCAUGUUCUCAUCACAACAGACACUUGAAACUACAAAAAUCAGGAAACUGCUAAAAUGACACCAUAGCAAGAGUAAUUAAUAUUACAAAUUUACUUUUAAACCAUUUAUAUUAAUGCUCUUUCCUAGUUGACUCAUUUGUAUGAUUCACAGGACCAUGGUCUCAUCAAAAUGAUGUAAUGAUAAUGAAUAUUCAUUGGCAGACACUUAAAACUACAAAAAUCAGGAAACUGCUGAAAUGACACCACAGCAAGAGCAACUUCUAGAUAGCAUAUAUAGCUUUCAGUCGAUAGUGGGCGGGUGGUGGGACCUGGGAUUUCACCGCAGCGAAUAAUUUUCAAAAAUUUAGGAGGGUGGGUGGCCAACCCACUACUUCAUAUAAGAUUUGAACUAUGUUGUUGUUUCACUAAGACUAAUUUGAAUAUCAAACAAAAAGGUUUUUACUACAGUUUCUACAACCUAUAAUACGUUAAUUGCAUUGCAUAAAUUCUGUAGUUAACCUUCAGAGAACUUAAUUUUAAUAAAUGGCCUAAUUAAGUAUCUUUGUAUACUUAUGUAUGUGAGUAUGUGUUCCAUAUGUGUUUUUGAUCCAAUGACCGGGAUA